CAUCAUGGCUGGUUGGGUGCCUUCUGGGGCUUUGCUCCUUGUUCUGAUGGCUGCUGCCACGCUCUGCUACCCGUUUAGGCAAGCUGCUGGUCCCAGGUCUUUCCCUAGCAGUCCCUACAAACCCCGCACUCUGCUGG